GACGAACGCUGGCGGCGUGCUUAACACAUGCAAGUCGAACGGAAAGGCCCUGCUUUUGUGGGGUUCUCGAGUGGCGAACGGGUGAGUAACACGUGAGUAACCUGCCCUUGACUUUGGGAUAACUUCAGGAAACUGGGGCUAAUACCGGAGAGGAGCUCCUGCUGCAUGGUGGUGGUUGGAAAGUUUCGGCGGUUGGGGAUGGACUCGCGGCUUAUCAGCUGGUUGGUGGGGUAGUGGCUUACCAAGGCUUUGACGGGUAGCCGGCCUGAGAGGUUGACCGGCCACAUGGGGACUGCGAUACGCCCCAGACUCCUACGGGCGGCAGCAGUGGGGAAUAUUGCACAAUGUGCGGAAGCCUGAUGCAGCAACGCCGGGUGCGGGAUGACGGCCUUCGGGUUGUAAACCGCUUUGGCAUGUGACAAAGCGUGAGUGACGGUAAUGGGUAAAGAAGCACCGGCUAACUACGUG
rnacentral:rRNA from 1 species